UUUUUUCUGUUUCUUUUCAGUUGUCGCUUCAUCUUUGUGUUUGCAGUGCUGAUUAACAAAGUGUCUCUGCAGGAAACAGUACAUAGAGAGGGUGUUACUGGCGGUUCUGUUCUCCUGCCGUGUUCUUCCAGUGAACAUGUUCAUAAAAUUCAACACAUCGAUGUAAGCUGGAGACACAAUGACAGCGAGAUUGUGUAUGAUAUAGUCAAGGGUGAAGAUUCAGUGGUAGAACAGGACCCUCGGUACAAGAAUAGAGUUGAAACUUUUCCAUUGGAGUAUGAGAGAGGAAACUUCUCCAUCAAACUCAACAAUCUCAAUUACACUGAUACAGGAGAGUUCAACUGCCUCAUCACACCCUCAAACGAACAGAAGAAUGUAGUACUGAUCAUCAAGGCAGGAGAAGAAAACACAUCUAAACAUGCAAACCCAGGACUGGACCAGACGAGGAUCAUUUCCAUAUGUGUUGGCACUCUCUUAACUGUAAUUAUUUUUGUUAUUUUGUAUUUUGCCUAUGUAAUUCACCGGAGAAAAAGAUCUGCCUUAUAGACCAUUUGGGAGCAGACAUCACAGUGUCAGAAAAAGUUGGUCUCAGUUUUUGUAGAAUACUGUAAUUGAAGAUGAUCUUUGAAGCUAAAUGCAGACUGUUGCAUUAAACAGACAGACUGAACUGAUGAAACCUGCGAUUACCCCACUACUAAAGCUUGAAUUAUGUAAACAAUGUUCAUGCAGUUCAUAGGGGACAUUGCGUGUUAGCCCUACAGUUACAGCAUUAAAUAAUAUUUAAGCCUAUAACAAUUUUAUCUAAAAAAAAUCUGACUCUUUUCUUGGAAUUGUGAGUUUAUAUUUAACAAUUC